rnacentral:rRNA from 1 species
UGAGGAAUAUUGGUCAAUGGGCGCGAGCCUGAACCAGCCAAGUAGCGUGCAGGAAGACGGCCCUAUGGGUUGUAAACUGCUUUUGCAGGAGGAUAAUAUGUCCCACGUGUGGGAUAUUGCAGGUAUCCUGCGAAUAAGGACCGGCUAAUUCCGUGCCAGCAGCCGCGGUAAUACGGAAGGUCCGGGCGUUAUCCGGAUUUAUUGGGUUUAAAGGGAGCGUAGGCGGGAGAUCAAGUCAGUUGUGAAAAGCAGCCGCUCAACGGUUGUCGUGCAGUUGAUACUGGUUUUCUUGAGUGCGCGCGAGGAUGGUGGAAUUUGUGGUGUAGCGGUGAAAUGCUUAGAUAUCACAAAGAACUCCGAUUGCGAAGGCAGCUGUCCGGAGCGCAACUGACGCUGAGGCUCGAAGGUGCGGGUAUCAAACA